rnacentral:lncRNA from 1 species
UAGUGUCUCUGACAGGGAGCUAGCCCAAGUGGUUCUUUACCCACUAAGACCAUCUCUAUCUCACCCUGCAGGUUCUGCUUCCAUGCCUUGGAGGAGCUUUUCUCCUAGAGAUUCUGCAGUAGCUUGUGACACCCUUAUUUGGAAGAAUAACUUGCCAGAGAGUGAAUCGGUCUUGUGAGUCUUGAGAGAAUGCCAAGGCUCCCAGCCUUUCCGG